AUUACCCAGAAAUAGGAGAUGAACCAGCUUGUGAAAUGGCCGCUCUAAUACUCCAAACUGCAUUUUCCAGCCAACCACACGAACCGUGUUGUCUUGACCUGGUACUUGAUCUGCACGUCCUGUCAUCGAUCUCCUUAUAAGUUGGCUCAAGAGCCGUUGGUGAAUAUGUCUUCAGGAACACCACUACGGCAAACACUUCGAAGCAUCAAAUUGCUGUUCGAUGGGAGUUGGACGACAUGGUGAGAAGUCAAAUUAAUCCCACUCUUUUAUAAACUCCACGUAAAGGAACCUUUGAAGACUAGACCAAGCACGAAACUCGUAUAAAU